GUCCACGCCCUAAACGAUGAUUACUCGAUCUCGGCGAUACACAGUCGGGGUCUAUGUGAAAGCAUUAAGUAAUCCACCUGGGGAGUACGAUCGCAAGAUUGAAACUCAAAGGAAUUGACGGGGUCCGCACAAGCGGUGGAGCAUGUGGUUCAAUUCGAUGGUACGCGAGGAACCUUACCUGGGCUAGAAUGCAAGGAGACCGAUCCUGAAAGGGGUCUUCCCCGCAAGGGGCUGCUUGUAAGGUGCUGCAUGGCUGUCGU
rnacentral:rRNA from 1 species